AGUAACACGUGGGGAACCUGCCCCUAAGUNUGGGAUACCAUUUGGAAACAGGUGCUAAUACCGGAUAAGAAAACAGAUCGCAUGAUCAGCUUUUAAAAGGCGGCGUAAGCUGUCGCUAUGGGAUGGCCCCGCGGUGCAUUAGCUAGUUGGUAAGGUAAAGGCUUACCAAGGCGAUGAUGCAUAGCCGAGUUGAGAGACUGAUCGGCCACAUUGGGACUGAGACACGGCCCAAACUCCUACGGGAGGCAGCAGUA
rnacentral:rRNA from 1 species